CAAUCUUCUCCGUUUUGCUAGGUUCAGAGUGUUUGAGAAAAAAUUUACUGUUCCUUUUCUCCGCAACCACCUUCCCACCAUUAAAUCCAAUAAGUCCUUUUCAGUCCUCCUCUUUUGAGUUCUGUGCAGCAUUAGAUACUGGCGAUGUCCACUUCAUGCCACUUUCCCUUGACGUCCAUGAAGACAGGCCUUCCCAGUUUUCUUACUGCUGUCUGGCUGCACUCUCAGUUUGCUCUUCAGACUACUUUAUUUCCUUUUCUCAUCCCUUAGAUAUUGAUGUUCUUCAGAGUUCUACCCUUAUUCUCUUUCAUCUCACUCUACUUGGAUUCCCUGUGUGAUCCCAUACACAGAAAUUUGAUCCCUUGCAAGUCUCUGUAGUGCCAUUUGUUCCCUGGGCAUCUAUACUUGAAUGUCUCCAGACCCCUUAAACUCAGUAAUUGAGCUAAAGUCAUAAUUUCUCUCCAAAGUCUAUACUUCCUCCAGAAUACUCCGAUUCAGUAGUGGUGCAAUGGCUCCACCUAAGACUGUUGUCAUGUAUGAUGCCUCCAGUUUCCUCUUCCUUCCUCUCUGCCUGCACCUACAUGUUAUCCAGAAAGAUCUUUGUAGCUACUCCCAAGUGUGUCUACUUCUCUCUAUCCCAUUACUACUGCCUCAGUCUAUGUCACAAUUAUCCUUUUCUGAGGUUGCUGCAGCAGCCCCUAAAGCAGCCUUCCUCCCCAUCCCGUGACCUUGCCCUGUCACCAUCCCAUUGUCCUCACUGAGCCUCAUUGUCCUGCUUGAAGCCUGAUUAUCCUCCUGCUUGAAGCUCUUCAUGUCUCCCCAGUGGCUCUCAGGACAAACCUCAACUCCAUACUCAGGCUAUCAAAACCCUUCAUGAUGUGGCCUCUGCCUAACUCUUUAGGCUCAUUUCUGGCCACAUUGCUCACAUUGCCCUAAACCUCCAGCUGUCCUAAAUUUUCAGUUUCUCAACUGACCAUCAGAUCUCUCAACCCUAGGCCUCUGCAGGUGCCUCUCAAACAGUUCCUGUUACUCAGAUGCUUAAGUUGCCUCUCCCUUGUGCUCUCUAUUCUUCCCAGUUGAAGCCCUCACGAGGGUAGAUUUAAAGUGUUGUUUAAUAUCAUCCUUAUCACACUCAACCCACUAGACCAUGAGAUCUGUGAUGGCGGCACUGGGGGAACAUUGUACCAUUGCAUCCCCUGUGCCUAACAUAUGUGUUCCUUGGCCACAACUGGUAGGAUUUUGUUAACUCAAUUUGAAAAUAUCAAGUUAGAAAUCUUGGAAGCUAAAUACAGGUGUAUGCCUUCUCUCUUAGUCAGAGGCACAUGUAGCAACCUCCAAACUUCCGUAACCAUGAAAAUGAUGUUUUUUAUCA
rnacentral:lncRNA from 1 species